AUUGAACGCUGGCGGCAGGCUUAACACAUGCAAGUCGAGCGAGCGGCGGACGGGUGAGUAAUGUCUGGGAAACUGCCUGCUGGUGGGGGAUAACUACUGGACACGGUAGCUAAUACCGCAUACCCUCAGAUGUGCCGAGAUGGGAUUAGCUAGUAGGUGGGGUAAUGGCUCACCUAGGCGACGAUCCCUAGCUGGUCUGAGAGGAUGACCAGCCACACUGGAACGGAGACACGGUCCAGACUCCUACGGGAGGCAGCAGUGGGGAAGAUUGCACAAUGGGCGGAGGCCUGAUGCGGCCAUGCCGCGUAUGUGAAGAAGGCAUUCGGGUUGUAAAGCACUUUCAGCGAGAAAGCGUUACUCGCAGAAGAAGCACCGGCUAACUCCGUGCCAGCAGCCGCGGUAAUAC
rnacentral:rRNA from 1 species